rnacentral:rRNA from 1 species
UACGUAGGGGGCAAGCGUUGUCCGGAUUUACUGGGCGUAAAGAGCGUGUAGGCGGCCAAACAGGUCCGUUGUGAAAACUGGAGGCUUAACCUCCAGACGUCGACGGAAACCGUGUGGCUAGAGUCCGGAAGAGGAGAGUGGAAUUCCUGGUGUAGCGGUGAAAUGCGCAGAUAUCAGGAAGAACACCAAUGGCGAAGGCAGCUCUCUGGGACGGUACUGACGCUGAGGUACGAAAGCUAGGGGAGCGAACAGG